UACGGAGGGUGCGAGCGUUGUCCGGAAUCACUGGGCGUAAAGGGCGCGUAGGCGGCCUGAUAAGUAGGGGGUGAAAUCCUGCGGCUUAACCGCAGGGCUGCCUUCUAAACUGUCAGGCUAGAGCACGGUAGAGGCAGAUGGAAUUCCCGGUGUAGCGGUGGAAUGCGUAGAGAUCGGGAAGAACAUCAGUGGCGAAGGCGGUCUGCUGGGCCGUUGCUGACGCUGAGGCGCGACAGCGUGGGGGAGCGAACAGG
rnacentral:rRNA from 1 species